GACGAACGCUGGCGGCGUGCCUAAUACAUGCAAGUCGAGCGAACGGCGAAGAAGCUUGCUUCUUCAAUGUUAGCGGCGGACGGGUGAGUAACACGUGGGCAAUCUGCCCGUAAGACUGGGAUAACUCCGGGAAACCGGGGCUAAUACCGGAUAACGCUUUUCAUCUCCUGGUGGAAAGUUGAAAGAUGGUUUCGGCUAUCACUUACGGAUGAGCCGGCGGCGCAUUAGCUAGUUGGUGAGGUAACGGCUCACCAAGGCGACGAUGCGUAGCCGACCUGAGAGGGGAAGCGGCCACACUGGGACUGAGACACGGCCCAGACUCGGACGGGAGGCAGCAGUAGGGAAUCUUCCGCAAUGGACGAAAGUCUGACGGAGCAACGCCGCGUGAGUGAAGAAGGUUUUCGGAUCGUAAAACUCUGUUGUUAGGGAAGAACACGUACGAGAGUAACUGCUCGUACCUUGACGGUACCUAACCAGAAAGCCACGGCUAACUACGUGCCAGCCGCCGCCGUAC
rnacentral:rRNA from 1 species